UGAUGCCCAGACAUUUUUCUCUUCCUACAAGGUGCUGAGCCCCACUCGGUCCGCAGCUGAAGGACAACCAGCCACGGCUCUAGCUUCAGCCAGUGGCUUCUGUCAGCUGCGCAGCCCAAGGCUGGCCAGUGCAAACAUGUCCGCUGUAGCCGGGUUAUCUCCACACUCUUGCAAGAGAUUCCAGACCCUUCCACGCACCAGAAGUGCUUUGGACUUUCCGCAGAGGAGCAGAACUGGCAGGGAUGUGACGGAGCAAGAGGGGAAGAUGCUUCAGGGAGCCACACCAUUGCCCAGAGGCAAAGGGAAAGAGAAGAGAACCUGUGCGCUCCACAAGUCAAUCGGCUACGGGCACAUGAGGUGUCCACGAGUACCAGUUGCACCCAAGUAACCAAUAAGCGGGCCCUUCUUUGUCUCAAGCUAGCCAAUAGCAAGCAACCUAAUCUCUCCC